rnacentral:rRNA from 1 species
UACGGAGGAUGCAAGCGUUAUCCGGAUUUAUUGGGUUUAAAGGGUGCGUAGGCGGACCAGUAAGUCAGUGGUGAAAUCUUUCGGCUCAACCGAGAAACUGCCAUUGAUACUGUUGGUCUUGAGUUCGGCAGAGGUAGGCGGAAUGUGUAAUGUAGCGGUGAAAUGCUUAGAUAUUACACAGAACACCAAUUGCGUAGGCAGCUUACUAUACCGACACUGACGCUGAGGCACGAAAGCGUGGGGAGCGAACAGG